rnacentral:misc_RNA from 1 species
UUAAAAGUAUUAGCUGGCCCUUGUUGUGGGAUUGGUUCUACUCAGCGUGAUAAUAAUCAUGACCGUUGAGGACAUCUUUCGGGAUGGCCAAAUCUGCCUUGGACUGCUUCUAAUUUGCAUGGGUCGUUAGGCUUGCCUAGCUUCAUGUCCACUUUUCAACCUUUGACCUCGAAUCAGGCGGGACUACCCGCUGAACUUAA